rnacentral:rRNA from 1 species
AAAUGAAUAGACGGGGACCCGCACAAGCAGCGGAGCAUGUGGUUUAAUUCGAAGCAACGCGAAAAACCUUACCAAGACUUGACAUCGUACGCAAGCCGUAGAGAUACGGGCCUCCCCUUUUAGGGGACGUGCAGACAGGUGGUGCAUGGUUGUCGUCAGCUCGUGUCGUGAGAUGUUGGGUUAAGUCCCGCAACGAGCGCAACCCUCGUGAAUAGUUGCCAAUAUUAAGUUAGGAACUCUAUUCAGACUGCCGUGGAUAACACGGAGGAAGGUGGGGAUGACGUCAAAUCAUCAUGCCCCUUACGUCUUGGGCUACACACGUGCUACAAUGGCUAUUACAAAGAGCAGCAAAACGGUAACGUCAAGCGAAUCUCAUAAAGAUAGUCUCAGUUCGGACUGUGGGCUGCAACCCGCCCACACGAAGUCGGAGUUGCUAGUAAUCCCGAAUCAGCAUGUCGGGGUGAAUGCGUUCCCGGGUCUUGUACACACCGCCCGU